CCGCACAACUCACCCGUGAACGGCAGGAGCGGGGGACCCACAGGUACAACUGCCUGUUCCGGUCUCCGGAACGGCUAGGGGUUAAGUCGCACUUCGGUGCGGCCGGGCAUCUCCAGCCCGAACCCGACAGCUCACCUCGCAGGCGCCGGAGAGGAAUU
rnacentral:sRNA from 2 species